rnacentral:rRNA from 1 species
GCCAGACUCCUACGGGAGGCAGCAGUGGGGGAUAUUGCACAAUGGGGGGAACCCUGAUGCAGCGACGCCGCGUGGGUGAAGGAGUGCUUCGGCAUGUAAAGCCCUAUCGGCAGGGAAGAAGCAAGACGGUACCUGACUAAGAAGCCCCGGCUAACUACGUGCCAGCAGCCGCGGUAAUACGUAGGGGGCGAGCGUUAUCCGGAUUCACUGGGUGUAAAGGGAGCGUAGACGGCCAAGCAAGCCAGGGGUGAAAGCCCGGGGCCCAACCCCGGGACUGCCCUUGGAACUGCAUGGCUGGAGUGCGGGAGGGGCAGGCGGAAUUCCUGGUGUAGCGGUGAAAUGCGUAGAUAUCAGGAGGAACACCAGUGGCGAAGGCGGUCAACUGGACAGCAACUGACGCUGAGGCGCGAAAGCGUGGGGAGCAAACAGGAUUAGAUACCCCCGUAA